UACGGAGGGUGCAAGCGUUAUCCGGAUUCACUGGGUUUAAAGGGUGUGUAGGCGGAUUUUUAAGUCAGUGGUGAAAUCUCCGGGCUCAACCCGGAAACUGCCAUUGAUACUAUUAGUCUUGAAUUCUGUUGAGGUGGGCGGAAUACAUCAUGUAGCGGUGAAAUGCUUAGACAUGAUGUAGAACACCGAUUGCGAAGGCAGCUCACUAAGCAGACAUUGACGCUGAGGCACGAAAGCGUGGGGAUCAAACAGG
rnacentral:rRNA from 1 species